rnacentral:rRNA from 1 species
AACGCUGCGGGCGUGCUUAACACAUGCAAAGUCGACGGAAAAGGCCCUGCUUGCAGGGUACUCGAGUGGCGAACGGGUGAGUAACACGUGGGUGAUCUGCCCUGCACUUCGGGAUAAGCCUGGGAAACUGGGUCUAAUACCGGAUAGGAGCCAUUUUUUAGUGUGAUGGUUUGGAAAAGUUUUUUCGGUGUAGGAUGAGCUCGCGGCCUAUCAGCUUGUUGGUGGGGUAAUGGCCCUACCCAAGGCGGCGACGGGUAGCCGGCCUGAGAGGGUGGACGGCCACAUUGGGACUGAGAUACGGCCCAGACUCCUACGGGAGGCAGCAGUGGGGAAUAUUGCACAAUGGGCGCAAGCCUGAUGCAGCGACGCCGCGUGGGGGAUGACGGCCUUCGGGUUGUAAACUCCUUUCGCUAGGGGACGAAGCUUUUUGUGACGGUACCUAGAUAAGAAGCACCGGCUAACUACGUGCCAGCAGCCGCGGUAAU